rnacentral:rRNA from 1 species
GAUGAACGCUGGCGGCGUGCCUAACACAUGCAAGUCGAGCGAUUCUCUUCGGAGAAGAGCGGCGGACGGGUGAGUAACGCGUGGGUAACCUGCCCUGUACACACGGAUAACAUACCGAAAGGUAUGCUAAUACGAGAUAAUAUGCUUUUAUCGCAUGGUAGAAGUAUCAAAGCUUUUGCGGUACAGGAUGGACCCGCGUCUGAUUAGCUAGUUGGUAAGGUAACGGCUUACCAAGGCGACGAUCAGUAGCCGACCUGAGAGGGUGAUCGGCCACAUUGGAACUGAGACACGGUCCAAACUCCUACGGGAGGCAGCAGUGGGGAAUAUUGCACAAUGGGCGGAAAGCCUGAUGUAGCAACGCCGCGUGAGCGAUGAAGGCCUCGGUC